UACGUAGGGCGCAAGCGUUGUCCGGAAUCACUGGGCGUAAAGGGUGCGUAGGCGGGUCUUUAAGUCAGGGGUGAAAUCCUGGAGCUCAACUCCAGAACUGCCUUUGAUACUGAGGAUCUUGAGUUCGGGAGAGGUGAGUGGAACUGCGAGUGUAGAGGUGAAAUUCGUAGAUAUUCGCAAGAACACCAGUGGCGAAGGCGGCUCACUGGCCCGAUACUGACGCUGAGGCACGGAAAGCGUGGG
rnacentral:rRNA from 1 species